rnacentral:rRNA from 1 species
GAUGAACGCUGGCGGCGUGCUUAACACAUGCAAGUCGAACGGAAAGGCCUCUUUCGUGGGGUACUCGAGUUACGAACGGGUGAGUAACACGUGAGUAGCUUGCCCUUGACUUUGGGAUAACUUCAGGAAACUGGGGCUAAUACCGAAUAGGAGCUCCUGCUGCAUGGUGGGUGUUGGAAAGUUUCGGCGGUUAGGGGUGGACUCGCGGCGUAUCAGCUUGUUGUUGGGGUAGUGGCUUACCAAGGCUUUGACGGGUAGCCGGCCAGAGAGGGUGACAGGCGGCCUUGGGUCUGAGGGGCGGCACAGGCAGCUACGGGAGGGAGAAGGGGGGAAUCUUGACGGAGGGGCGGAGGGCGGGUGAAGAAAGGCUGCGUGUGGGAUGACGGCGUUAGGGUUGUAAAACGUUUUCGCUAAUGACGAAGCUUUGUGUGGCGGUAGUGGGUAAAGAAGCACCGGCUAACUACGUG